GGGCCCAUAGCUCAGCAUGGUAGAGCAGCUCGCUCUUAACGAGACGGUCAUGGGUUCGAAUCCCAUUGGGCUCA
rnacentral:tRNA from 1 species